GCCUAUAAGUAGAGGCAUGAUUUUUCACAAGCUUCAGAUACCGGUUAUGCCGCAAGGCGCUCCCCAUACUGUUAUGCUAAAUGCAACGUCUCAUUCCCUUCUCAGGGAACAGGGUAACCCCGACGUUUUUUCACAUUAUUUAAAAGGAAUUAGAAUUCCUGCAAAUAUCCCCAGUUUAGGCUAAAACUCAUGAGUCAGCCCUAGGUCAAAAGGUCAUCACCCAUCUGGACAGACGAAGUUAAAGAUAAUUAUUGUUGCACGUUCUUAGCUAUAGAUUAAUCAUUGAUUUUGACAAGCCUAGGUCAAAAAGAUCAUCAACAACGCCAUUGGACAGACAAAGUUAAAGAUGCAUAUCAGUAGUAAACUUUAAAUCCGGUUAUUGUGCAUACACAUAUACAUACACACACACAUACGACCCUGUAUAUAAAAGCGAGCACUCCGUUCAAUCAGCAAAGAGUUGAAAGAAUUUCCAGACUCUGGAAAGAAGAUAUAUUUUAAGCAAUUAAAAUAGUUAAUUAUAAAUUGAAAUAGAAUGUUUAUGUAACUAUCCAUUUCAUAUUCAUAUUGAUAUAACCCACUGGCACCCUGUCCAGGGUGUACCCCGCCUUGUGCCUGAUGCUCCCUGGGAUAGGCCCCAGGUUCCCCGUGACCCUGAAAAGGAGUAAGCGGUUGAAGAUGGAUGGAUGGAUGGAUGGAUUGAUAUAACCCUAAAACUAAUCUUUCUGAGUGCAACAAUCAUCAUCCUUAUCUGAUCAUUAUGUAAUCUGUUACGAUACUAUAUCUAAAUUUUAUUCUUCAAUACACUUAUAUUACAGUGCAAGACUGAGCUAAGCUCAUCUGAUUCUAGUGUAUAGGUAAUUAAAAUUUGUCUCUUAGAUCUGUGUAGUGAGCUAAAAGGGAAUUGUUAAGUUAUUAAAAGUAUGUUUUAUUUGCUUUACUGUUUUAAGCCAAUAGUGUCGUGAUUAUUUCCGAUGAUGAAUUUUCCGAGACAUCUGAUCGAGGCCUUUUGAAUCUGACCUCUGCUCAUAAGUCAUAACAUUAAAUAUGAAUGUUUCAUGAUGUAAAGUCUUUCAUACGUAUAUAUAUUUUUGUUUGUAUCAAACGAAUGCGUUUCUAUUAGAUAAUUAAAAUUUGUCUCUUAGAUCUGUGUAGCGAGCUAAAAGGGGGACUGUUACAUUACCAAUAGUAAAUUUUAUUUGUUUUACUGUUUUUAGACAACAGUUUUGUGAAUGUUUCUGAUGAUGAGAUUCCCGAAACAAACGCACAAGACCUUUUGAAUCUGAGCUCCACACAAGUUAAGGACGUUGUGACUAUCAGUGCUUACGACGGAGAUAUUUCAGAUACGAGUGAUGCAAUAGAAGAGGAAGAGGAAUUCAACUUGGAAGCCGACAUUCAACCCGACCUCGAAUUACAGGAGAUCUGCACAGCGUGGCGUGAAUUCUUUGAAGCAAAGACUGCUUUAUUGGAAAACUUUGGACAGAUUGAUAAUACACUUGAAUCUUACUGGAAUUUUUUGUUUAGGUAAUUUUGUUGGCAGCUUACUCUCCGAGUUGUUUUCACAUUGUGGACAACUUUUGGUUUUUGUGGGAAAACACUGCUGUCUCCUUUGUUUUAUGGAGACUUUGGGUGUGUUUGUGUUUGGGUGUGUUUGGGGGAUUGUUGGGGGGAGGGGGAGGGGGAGGAGGUCCCACUUCGGCUCUAAUUGGCUAUUUAUAUUCCUAUGGUUUACUUUAUUUAAAUAGUUAGUAGUACUAUGGAUCCCAGCAUAGCUGUGACAGGCACACCUUUAAGAUUUAUUAGUUGGAACGUCAGAGGUAUGGGUAAUCCUGUCAAGAGAUCUAAGGUUUUUACACAUUUGAAACGUUUAAACUCCGAUAUAGUAUUUUUACAGGAGACUCACCUACGUAUUAAAGAUCAUCAUAGGUUACACUGCCCUUGGAUGAGUCAAGUCUUCCACUCAAACUUUAAUUCGAAGGCAAGAGGGGUCGUUAUUUUAGUUGACAAAAGGUCACAGUUUUCCUCCACUAACGUUAUUGCAGAUGUGAACGGUAGAUACAUUAUAGUUGCUGGUACUCUAAUGCAAAGACAGGUGUUGUUGGUAAAUGUAUAUGCUCCAAAUUUUGAUGACGUGGAAUUUGCUAAUAGAUUGUUGAGCAACCUCCCUUUCUUAAAUACUCACCUGUUGAUUUUCGGGGGAGAUUUAAACUGUGUUUUUGACCCAAACUUGGAUCGGUAUAAUCCUCGUUCUCUGAAUCAAUCUGCUAUGUUUAAAACAUUUUCCAAUUUUAUGUGUCAAAACAGUCUUGUUGAUCCCUGGAGAUCCCGUAAGCCCUCUCUUAAAAAGUUUUCUUUCUUCUCCCAGCUGCAUCAUUCCUAUUCAAGGAUCAAUUUUUUAUUUUUUUUUAUAGACAGCACUCUUGAUUCUUGUGUAGUUUCUUCUGACUAUUUGGGUAUAUUAAUUUCUGAUCACACGCCUCUACAAUUAGAUAUUCAUCUUUCUAUUUAUAAACGUAACCCACCUCCUUGGAGAUUUAAUUCUCUUCUUUUGGCAGACAGUGAAUUCUGUGUGUUCAUUUCUACUUCUAUGAUGACUUUCUUUUCUUAAAUCAAAAUGACUCCACCUCUUAUUCAUUGUUAUGGGAGACACUUAAAUCCUAUAUCAGAGGGCAGAUUAUUUCUUACUCUGCUCUCUGUAAUAAAAAACGCACUGCUAGGGUUAAUGAACUUACAUCUGCUAUCAUUAACCUUGAUCAGAGAUGUGCAUUGAACCCCACUCCAGAACUUCUUAAACAGUGUCUCGACUUGCAGGCAGAAUUUAAUUUUAUUUCAACUAAAGAGGCGGAACGCUUGUUGUUACGUACUUGUGGUUCAUAUUAUGAACAUGGCGACGAGCCGAGUCGUUUACUGGCACAUCAGCUACGGUGACAGGCCACUUCCCGUCUCAUACUUUGUAUUAAAAACACUUAUAAUAUUGUCACUACAGAUCCCAUGGAAAUUAAUGCUACUUUUAAAUCGUUUUACUCUUCGCUUUAUAAAUCCGAAUUUCCUACAGACAAUACUAAAGUGAAUGCAUUUCCUCAAAACCUUUGUAACCCUGUUAUUGAUUCGAAUAUUGCCAUGCAACUGGACUCCCCAUUCUCUCUUGAAGAAAUUUUAAUUUCAGUUAAAACUAUGCAAUCUAACAAAGCUCCUGGCCCGGAUGGGUUUCCAAUUGAAUUUUUUAAAACGUUUAUUGGAAAAUUAGCUCCAUUGCUUUUGGAUAUGUUCAACGAAUCCUUGGAAUGUGGGUCUUUGCCUCCAACUCUGACACAUAGAUAGAUCUUGAUAGAUCUCCUUCUUAAAUAGAGUAAGGAUCCAUCCUCCUGCGGUUCUUAUAGACCGCUGUCUCUGCUUAAUGCAGAUGUAAAGGUGUUGGCGAAAGUAAUGGCAUCUCGUUUAGAGAAUGUACUCCCUUAUAUUAUAUUUGAAGAGCAGAACGGUUUUAUAAAGGGACGUCAAUUGUUUUUCAAUACCUGUACGCUCUUUAAUAUAAUUUAUUCAAAGCAUUCAACUGAGCUUCCUGAGAUUGUGAUUUUUUAGAUGCUGAAAAAGCAUUUGAUAAGGUUGAGUGGGAGUAUUUGUUUGCAGUCUUGAGGAAGUUCGGAUUUGGGGAUAAGUUUAUUUCUUGGAUUAGCCUCCUUUACUCAUCCCCUAAUGCCAGGGUUCAGACAAACGAUAUUUAUUCUGAUUAUUUUGCUCUCGGAUGUGGGUGCCGCCAAGGCUGUCCUUCAUCACCUCUGCUUUUUGCUGUCGCUAUUGAGCCUCUGUCUAUCACAUUAAGAUCUUCUCCCUUGUUUAAAGGAAUAGUUUGAUGUGGUGUAGAAUACAAAUUGUCAUCAUAUGCUUAUGAUUUGUUAUUGUAUGUAACCGAUCCUAUUGCCUCUAUGCCUGCUGUCUUGGGUGUUCUGGAGUCCUUUGGUGUUGUCUCUGGUUAUAAAUUAAAUUUGGACAAAAGCGACUGUUUUCCAGUCAAUACUGCAGCAUUUUCUCUAGAACAGUAAGAUCGACAUUUUCGAUUUAGUCAGUCAGGGUUUAAAUACCUAGGUAUCAACGUGACAUGUUCAUUAUCUAAUCUUCUUUCAGCUAAUUUCACUCCCCUUAUCUCAAAGGUUAAAUCUAACAUUCAGAGUUGAGUAACUUACCCCUUUCUCUAAUUGGCAGGAUCAAUGACGUCAAAAUGAAUAUAUUACCCAAGUUUUUUUUCUUGUUCCACAAGUGCCUCUUUCUCUGCCAAAAUCGUUCUUCGAUUCAUUAGAUAAGAUAAUUAGUACUUUUAUUUGGGGUGGGAAGCCACCAGGGGUUCGUAAAUCUUUAUUGCAGAAAUGUAGACUUAGUGGAGGACUUGCAUUACCCAAUUUUCAAUUCUAUUACUGGGCUGCGCACAUCUAUAAACUUUGCUACUGGGUUAAAUCUCCUGGAUCUUCUUGGUCUAAAUUGGAACUAUCUUCUUGUAGGGAAUCCUCUUUACCUGCUUUACUUUGUUUCUCUGUACCUACAAAACUCUCCCUAUAUACUGAUAAUCUAGAUGUCCUCAAUACACUUAAGACUUGGUAUCAAUUUAGACGGCGCUUUAAAUUUGUAGGUGCAUCCUCUUUGGGUCCUUUAAUCAACAACCAUCUAUUUCCUCCAUAGUGUUUGGACUCCACAUUUUCAGUGUGGUAUGACAAGGGUAUUAAACAAGGUAGAAAUCUGUAUGCCGAUGGUGUGUUUGAUAGCUUUGCCAAUCUGUCAUCUACUUAUGACCUCCCUGUGACACAUCUCUUUCGGUAUUUUCAAUUCGGAAUUUCGUUUCUAGAUGUUUUCCUAAUUUCCCCUCUGCGCAUCCUGAACAGGCUUGAUAAAGCUUGUUUUCAAACAAUCCACAUCAGAGAGGAAUGAUUUCUAGGAUUUAUGAUUUUAUUCUGGUGCUAGGUAGUGAGUCAAGUACCAAAAUUAGGAAUGCGUGGGAAACGGAGUUAGGAGCGCAGAUAAGUGAGGAGUGUUGGGAACAUGCUAUAGGGAGGGUACAGUCUACCACUUCCUGUGCUUGUCUUGGACUUAUACAGUUCACAGUUUUACACAGAGUCCAUCUGUCCAAGUUGAGACUUUCUGUAAUAUAUCCGGAGGUAGAGGACAAGUGUGAUAAAUGCCAUGGGUCUCCCUGCCAUCUUGGCCAUAUGUUUUUCUUCUGCCCUGAUCUCCAUGGUUUUUGGUCUGUUUUUUUUUUAUCAUCAUGUCCACUAUUAUCAGGGAAGAUUUAAAGCCUUGCCAAUUUAUUGCUGUAUUUGGGAUUCCUGACGCCUUAGUUCCAUUCAGCUUGAUACAAAAGGAUGUUAUCGCUUUCACAUCCCUUAAAGCAAGACGUUCCCAGUGGCUAAAGGAUGUGAUGUUUUUUCUAAAACUCGAGGAAAUAAGGUAUAUGAUCAGGGGUUGUACAGACAAGUUGUUUUUUAUUAUAAAUGGCAUCCCUUUAUUGUAUACUUUAUGGAGUUACAGACACUUCCCACUUAAAUUUUUGUGCCUGUUGUUGGGUUUUACAAUAUCUAUAUAACCAGCGACAGUUAUUGGGUAGCCAUGAUGAACCGGGGGUGCGGGGGGCGGGUUUGUUUUCUGAGUUUGUACUUUUAAUUUUGGUUUCCUUUGUUAGUAUAAAAAGAAAAAAAAACUGUGAAUGAUUUCUGCUGUGUGUUACUCGGUUUGUUUUUUCUUCUCAAUGAAAUAUUUGGGAAAAGGAACGGAGAAAAAAAAGAAAUGUUCAGCAGAAAUGUUCAGCAGAAAUGUCCAAUAGAAAUGUUCAGCAGAAAUGUUCAGCAGAAAUGUCCAGUAGAAAUGUUCAGCAGAAAUGUUCAGCAGAAAUGUUCACUAGAAAUGUUCAGCAGAAAUGUCCAGCAGAAAUGUUCAAUAGAAAUGUUCUGCAGAAAUGUUCAGUAGAAAUGUUCAGCAGAAAUGUUCAGUAGAAAUGUUCAGCAGAAAUGUUCAGCAGAAACAUUCAGUAGAAACGAUCAGUAGAAAUGUUCAGCAGAAAUGUUCAGCAGAAAUGUUCAGCAGAAAUGUUCAGAAGAAAUGUUUAGCAGGAAUGUUCAGUAGAAAUGUUCAGCAGAAAUGUUCAGUAGAACUGUUCACUAGAAAUGUUCAGAAGAAAUGUUCAGCAGGAAUGUUGAGUAGAAAUUUUCAGUUGAAAUGUUCAAUAGAAAUGAAACUGUAGAUUGUUUGUUUGAGCUGAAAUAAAAAAAAA